rnacentral:rRNA from 1 species
CGUGUAGGCGGCUGUGCAAGUCUGAGGUGAAAUCCCUCGGCUCAACCGAGGAACUGCCUCCGAUACUGCAUGGCUAGAGUCCCGGAGAGGGUAGCGGAAUUCCCAGUGUAGCGGUGAAAUGCGUAGAUACUGGGAGGAACACCCGUGGCGAAGGCGGCUGCCUGGACGGGAACUGACGCUGAGACGCGAAAGCUAGGGGAGCAAACA